AUUCUCUGGUUUCUCUUCACAUCGAAUAAAGCUUUCGCCUUUACUAAAGAUUUCCGUGGAGAAGAACAUCUAUGGGUUUUCAAGAUUUUUGUUUUGAGGCUCUGCCCCUUGAA